rnacentral:lncRNA from 1 species
UUAUUUAUUUAUUCCCUUUUUUCUUUUUUGCUUUGUAGGCUCCAUGCCCAGAAUGCAGCCCAAUGUGGGGCUUGAACUUACGACUCUGGGAUCAACACCAGUGCAUCCUGCCUUUUCUCCAGCGGUUCCAAAGCACCAAUGGGACAAGCAUCCCAGAGGAACUACUGAAGUUGUUCAGAGGGAGUGGGGUGCUCAGAUCACAACCCUGGUGCUUCCAGAAGGCUGCAGAGAGGAUGAUGGCUUCUACAGAAGUCCAAGCAGUGGCAGGAUGACUGACCAGUAAGAACAGGUCGACCAGUAGUGUAGGCCAGAGAAGCGGCCCAUGGCAAUAGGGAUGGGGAACAGCA